rnacentral:rRNA from 1 species
UACGUAGGUGGCAAGCGUUGUCCGGAUUUAUUGGGUUUAAAGGGUGCGUAGGCGGCCCUGUAAGUCAGCGGUGAAAUACGGCAGCUCAACUGUCGAGGUGCCGUUGAUACUGCGGGGCUUGAGUGUUGAUGAGGCAGGCGGAAUUGACGGUGUAGCGGUGAAAUGCUUAGAUAUCGUCAAGAACACCGAUAGCGAAGGCAGCUUGCCAAGCAACAACUGACGCUGAGGCACGAAAGUGAGGGGAUCAAACAGG